AUUGAACGCUGGCGGCAGGCCUAACACAUGCAAGUCGAGCGGGGUUUUCGGACCUAGCGGCGGACGGGUGAGUAGUGCGUAGGAAGCUACCCGAUAGAGGGGGAUACCAGUUGGAAACGACUGUUAAUACCGCAUAAUGUCUACGGACCAAAGUGUGGGACCUUCGGGCCACAUGCUAUCGGAUGCGCCUACGUGGGAUUAGCUAGUUGGUGAGGUAAUGGCUCACCAAGGCGACGAUCUCUAGCUGGUUUGAGAGGAUGAUCAGCCACACUGGAACUGAGACACGGUCCAGACUCCUACGGGAGGCAGCAGUGGGGAAUAUUGGACAAUGGGCGCAAGCCUGAUCCAGCCAUGCCGCGUGUGUGAAGAAGGCCUUCGGGUUGUAAAGCACUUUCAGCGAGGAGGAAGGGGUGUGUGUUAAUAGUACACACCUUUGACGUUACUCGCAGAAGAAGCACCGGCUAACUCUGUGCCAGCCGCCGCGGUAAGAC
rnacentral:rRNA from 1 species